UGGUUUUAAGUUUUGAACCAUAUUAAUGACAUAUUGCAUACAAUAGGUGCUGACAUAAAUGACUACAAAAUUGUUUAAGAAACAAUCAGGCCUUCGACAACUGCGUAGGAAGCAAAGAAAGUUCAUUUUGAGAGGACGAUUAAUGUCAGUGAACAAGACAUAUUGUUAUUCAAGAAGUUAAAGAGAGACCAACUUAAAGCAUACAAUACAAUUAUUGAAAGAAUAUUCUCAUGUAGAGCCGGAGCAUUUUUCAUUGAUGGUCUAGGAGGAACAGGAAAAACAUUCUUAUAUCAAUGCUUUACCUGCAACUGUACGCUCAAAAGGAUAUAUAGCGCUACCAAUUGCUACUUCUGGUGUAGCUACUUCCAUUCUUCCUGGUGGACGAACUGCACAUUCACGGUACAAAAUCCAAUUAAAUAUUGAUGAUAAUUUUAGUUGCAACAUUAGCAAACAAAGCGCACUUGCCUGCUUAUUUCGAGAAGCAAAAUUAAUUAUAUGGGAUGAAGUGUCUAUGGAAAAUAAAAGAACGAUUCAGGCUUUCGAUUUUCUCUUGAAAGACCUCAUAGAUACGGAUAAAAUUUUUUGUGGAAAAGUAGUGAUUUUUCGGAGGUGACUUCAGACAAACGCUUCUUGUUGUUCGUAGUGGGAAGAAAGAAGAUUUUAUUAAUUAAAGUUUAUUAUACUCUGAUAUUUGGGAAAAACUUGAAAGGUUGCUAUUAUCUUAAAAUAUGAGAGCAAAGUUAGCUCCUCCAUUCUAUGAUUUUUGAAUGAGAUUUUGAAAUGGAUAACAAAAAUAAAAAUCUACAAAUAAAAUUGAGAUACCAGAUACUUUAACAAUUACAUUUAAUACUAAAAGAGAAUCAUUAAAAAAAUUAUUCACAGUAACUUACCCAAAUAUGCACACAUUCUUUUCAGCUUCAUCUUACCUAAGUUCUCCCGUUAUUCUAACAAUGAAG
rnacentral:lncRNA from 1 species